GUGCUCUUCAAACAAUUCUCUUCACAUCACUAGAUCUACUCUUUAUAACAUGUCUUCUUACAAAUUCUCGUCGAUGGAGUACGGAGAUUGGAGAGAUCAGAGGAAAGGAAGGCCCCUGCCAAAGAGGGGACAAAUCAAGGCUAAGAUAAUCGGCGGUCUCGUUCGAUCGGUUACGUCGUUAGGAUCGAAGAAAAGAGAGAAGCUCCAGGAGGGCGAAUACGGCGAAUCCGCCCCUGUAACUCCGCCGCCGAGCGGUUAUGCAUCGGAAGCGAGCUACGAGGCUUGAAGAGUUGGAUCGCGGGGCGGAAAUUGUAAAGGAUAGUGUCUUAUACCAUGCUAAUGUUUUCGACUUUUGCGAAACUGUGGUAAGGAGAGAAGAGAAGAGAAGAGAGGGCUCGGAUCAUGUUCAAGUAAGGUCGUAAAAGAAAAAAAAGAGAGAUAAGAGCGCGACAAAAGUGUUUCUCUUGAUCGAUUUGUAGUUUGGAGAGAAUCAAACUUUAUCGAUUUGGUUCUCAAACUUUAGUUCCUGGUGGAGAAAUAGUAGGAUUGGAUUAGUGUGUAUGUCGAUUAAUCUAAUGGUUCUUCUAAAUGAGUUAAUCCAUUGGAUGAAGCUUUGUAUUAAUGUAAAUAGCUGUUGUUGAGACUAUUAAUGCAUCAAAAUGUUGGUGAAUUGUUUUUGUCUGAAUAAAAUUGAUGGCUCGAGAUGAUCAAUUAAGGAUAGAAGCAUUUAGAUUUUACAAAAUUUAAAUUUAAGUGAAGAUCCAUGACAAAUUUAUUAUGUUUGGGGGUAUAGUACUCUCACUAUUCUAUCUUUUUGCUGAAGAAGCUGA
rnacentral:lncRNA from 1 species